GGGCGUAAGGGCUCGCAGGCGGUUUCUUAAGUCUGAUGUGAAAGCCCCCGGCUCAACCGGGGAGGGUCAUUGGAAACUGGGGAACUUGAGUGCAGAAGAGGAGAGUGGAAUUCCACGUGUAGCGGUGAAAUGCGUAGAGAUGUGGAGGAACACCAGUGGCGAAGGCGACUCUCUGGUCUGUAACUGACGCUGAGGAGCGAAAGCGUGGGGAGCGAACAGGAUUAGAUACCCUGGUAGUCCACGCCGUAAACGAUGAGUGCUAAGUGUUAGGGGGUUUCCGCCCCUUAGUGCUGCAGCUAACGCAUUAAGCACUCCGCCUGGGGAGUACGGUCGCAAGACUGAAACUCAAAGGAAUUGACGGGGGCCCGCACAAGCGGUGGAGCAUGUGGUUUAAUUCGAAGCAACGCGAAGAACCUUACCAGGUCUUGACAUCCUCUGACAAUCCUAGAGAUAGGACGUCCCCUUCGGGGGCAGAGUGACAGGUGGUGCAUGGUUGUCGUCAGCUCGUGUCGUGAGAUGUUGGGUUAAGUCCCGCAACGAGCGCAACCCUUGAUCUUAGUUGCCAGCAUUCAGUUGGGCACUCUAAGGUGACUGCCGGUGACAAACCGGAGGAAGGUGGGGAUGACGUCAAAUCAUCAUGCCCCUUAUGACCUGGGCUACACACGUGCUACAAUGGACAGAACAAAGGGCAGCGAAACCGCGAGGUUAAGCCAAUCCCACAAAUCUGUUCUCAGUUCGGAUCGCAGUCUGCAACUCGACUGCGUGAAGCUGGAAUCGCUAGUAAUCGCGGAUCAGCAUGCCGCGGUGAA
rnacentral:rRNA from 1 species